UGAAUACGAGACGCUACGGCGUCGAAGCAGUCUAUGUCAUACUUCCAAGAAAAGCUCGCAAUGUCAUAAACAAAUAAUGCCUGUACCAUAACCGACACAGGUGGGUAGGUAGAGUAUACUAAGGGGCGCGAGAUAACUCUCUCUAAGGAACUCGGCAAAAUGACUCCGUAACUUCGGGAGAAGGAGUGCCUUAUUUAUAAGGUUGCAAUAACAAGAUCCAAGCAACUGUUUAUCAAAAACACAGGUCUCCGCUAAGUCGUAAGACGAUGUAUGGGGGCUGACGCCUGCCCAGUGCCAGAAGGUUAAAGAAGUUGGUUAGCAUUCGCGAAGCUGAUAACUGAAGCCCUGGUGAACGGCGGCCGUAACAAUAACGGUCCUAAGGUAGCGAAAUUCCUUGUCGGGGAAGUUCCGACCCGCACGAAAGGCGUAAUGAUUUGGAUACUGUCUCGGAGAGGGGCUCGGUGAAAUAGACUUGUCUGUGAAGAUGCGGACUACCUGCACCUGGACAGAAAGACCCUAUGAAGCUUUACUGUAACUUGAAAUUGAAAUUGGACUUUAUUUGCGCAGCAUAGGUGGGAGGCGUUGAGAGUAUUCUUGCGGGAAUAUUGGAGCCAUCAGUGAGAUACCACUCUUGUAAUGUUAGAUUUCUAACUUUGGAUCAUUAUCUGGUCAAAGAACAGUUUCAGGCGGGCAGUUUGACUGGGGCGGUCGCCUCCCAAAUGGUAACGGAGGCGUACAAAGGUUUCCUCUGAACGGGUAGAAAUCGUAUCUAGAGUGUAAAGGCAUAAGGAAGCUUGACUGUGAGACCUACAAGUCGAGCAGGGACGAAAGUCGGUCUUAGUGAUCUGACGGUGCUGAGUGGAAAGGCCGUCACUCAACGGAUAAAAGUUACUCUAAGGAUAACAGGCUGAUCUCCCCCAAGAGUUCACAUCGACGGGGAGGUUUGGCACCUCGAUGUCGGCUCAUCGCAUCCUGGGGCGGUAGUACGUCCCAAGGGUUGGGCUGUUCGCCCAUGAAAGCGGUACGCGAGCUGGGUUCAGAACGUCGUGAGACAGUUCGGUCCAUAUCCGGUGUAGGCGUUAGAAUAUUGAGAGGAGCCUUCUUUAGUACGAGAGGACCGAGAAGGACAUACCUCUGGUGUACCAGUUAUCGUGCCAACGGUAAACGCUGGGUAGCUAUGUAUGGAGAGGAUAACCGCUGAAAGCAUCUAAGUGGGAAGCCCACCUCAAGAUAAG
rnacentral:rRNA from 1 species